ACAGGGCCCGACCUGGGGCUCGAACCCACGAACCGCGAGAUCAUGACCUGAGCCGAAGGUGGACACUUAACCAGCUGAGCCACCCGGGUGCCCCAGCACCUGCCUUCUUGGGUUGAGAGCCGGUGCUUGGAGAGGUAUUUUGAACAGUGACGGGUGGGUCACGAAGCUCAGUGGCAUGAGCCAGCGUCACUGCUCUGCGGCCCCGUUCUUGUCGGUGCGGGUGGACCAGGUACGUGCGGGAAUGAAAGCGAGCGCCUAAGCUUGGGUUUGGGACAGACAGACAGGGCUACAUGGGCUCGGAUUCCAGCAGGGACCUCGUUUCCCAGACCCUAAGUCCCCGAGCCCCGGGUGGGUGGAAAGAAGGCGGGGGGCUGGGGAUCGAGGCGGACGGUGGGCGGAGGCUGCCUGUCUGGUCUCAUCCGAGGAGUCAGUGCCCGGACGCUGUGGAGCCCGACGCCGGACGUCAGAGGCGUCUUGGGAGGUGACAGCACGGGCUGGGUACAGCGGGGCGGGAGGGGAGGGCACGGGGGAGGGCUGUCCCCGUCCUGCUCGGUGCCUGGCACGUAGGUGCUUGCCGAAUGCUUGGAUGGAUGCGUGCGCGCCUGCGGGUGACCUGGGAGCCCCGCCUGGCCCUUCCCGGUCGAGCUGGCCCGCGGGCCCGUCUAGGAGCGCACGCUGGGGCGCCGUGGCUGGAGCUGGGAAGGUGAGCGUCCCGGCCUUUGCAGGAGGCCCCCCGGCAGACCCCUCUGGGGAGAACCGUUCACCGUGGUUUGCAAAUGUCAACAGAAAUAACCUUUAAAAUUGACGUAUCGUAGAAACUUCUCACUGGAGCCUUUUACAGAAACUGAUUUAAACCACGGACCACAACGGGCCCCGGCUUCUUCCCGGGGACGAGAACUGGGUUCUUGGCCGAGUCGCAGCCCUGACCAGCCGCGUGAUAUUGAGACUCACAGGGCUCUGCCUGCAGAGCAGAACCUGCCUUUGGUUGUCGGCACCACCAGCUUUCUCACUGCAUGACUCCGAGCCUCAGUCUCCCCAUCUGUAAAACGGGAAUGCACGGUGAGGGCCUGGCCGGUGCUCAUCCCUCUACAGAUGGGGUCAGGGAUGCUUCCCGACCAGUACAUGGAUGUGCAUAUGUGCUCAGACAUUGGCACACGCGAGCGGCCUGCCUGGGACGCUUCUCUGCCCGCUCGCCGCUUCUAGACUCCUCUGGACCCCUG